rnacentral:rRNA from 1 species
UAGUUGCUAGGUGUAGACCCGAAACCCGGUGAUCUAGCCAUGGGCAGGUUGAAGGUUGAGUAACAUCAACUGGAGGACCGAACCGACUAAUGUUGAAAAAUUAGCGGAUGACUUGUGGCUGGGGGUGAAAGGCCAAUCAAACCGGGAGAUAUCUGGUUCUCCUCGAAAGCUAUUUAGGUAGCGCCUCGGACGAACACCUUUGGGGGUAGAGCACUGUUAAGGCUAGGGGGUCAUCCCGACUUACCAACCCUUUGCAAACUCCGAAUACCAAAGAGUGCUAUCCGGGAGACAGACGGCGGGUGCUAACGUCCGUCGUCAAAAGGGAAACAACCCAGACCGUCAGCUAAGGUCCCAAAGUAAUUGCUAAGUGGGAAACGAUGUGGGAAGGCUUAGACAGCUAGGAUGUUGGCUUAGAAGCAGCCAUCAUUUAAAGAAAGCGUAAUAGCUCACUAGUCGAGUCGGCCUGCGCGGAAGAUGUAACGGGGCUAAGCAAUUCACCGAAGCUACGGGUACUGAUGCUUGCAUCAGUGCGGUAGAGGAGCGUUCUGUAAGCCGUUGAAGGCGAAGGGGUAACCCACGCUGGAGGUAUCAGAAGUGCGAAUGCUGACAUGAGUAACGAUAAAGGGGGUGAAAAACCCCCUCGCCGAAAGACCAAGGGUUCCUGUCCAACGUUAAUCGGGGCAGGGUGAGUCGACCCCUAAGGCGAGGCUGAAAGGCGUAGUCGAUGGGAAACGGGUUAAUAUUCCCGUACUUCUGCUAACUGCGAUGGAGAGACGGAGAAGGCUAGGCCGGCGCGGCGUUGGUAGUCCGCGUUUAAGGUAGUAGGUGGUGUGCUUAGGCAAAUCCGGGCACACAUACACUGAGAGCUGACGACGAGUCCCUAAGGGGAUGAAGUGGUUGAUGCCAUGCUUCCAGGAAAAUCUUCUAAGCUUCAGGUUAGCAGGAAUCGUACCCCAAACCGACACAGGUGGUCGGGUAGAGAAUACCAAGGCGCUUGAGAGAACUCGGCUGAAGGAACUAGGCAAAAUGGUACCGUAACUUCGGGAGAAGGUACGCUCCUGUUGGUGAUGAGACUUGCUCUCUGAGCUGACGGGAGUCGCAGAUACCAGGUGGCUGCAACUGUUUAUCAAAAACACAGCACUGUGCAAAAUCGCAAGAUGACGUAUACGGUGUGACGCCUGCCCGGUGCCGGAAGGUUAAUUGAUUGGGUUAUCUUCGGAGAAGCUCAUGAUCGAAGCCCCGGUAAACGGCGGCCGUAACUAUAACGGUCCUAAGGUAGCGAAAUUCCUUGUCGGGUAAGUUCCGACCUGCACGAAUGGCGUAAUGAUGGCCACGCUGUCUCCAGCCGAGACUCAGUGAAGUUGAAAUUGCGGUGAAGAUGCCGUAUACCCGCGGCUAGACGGAAAGACCCCGUGAACCUUUACUAUAGCUUGGCACUGAACAUUGACCCUACAUGUGUAGGAUAGGUGGGAGACUAUGAAGAUGAGACGCCAGUCUUGUUGGAGUCAACCUUGAAAUACCACCCUUGUAGUGUUGAUGUUCUAACCUGGGCCCCUAAUCGGGGUUAGGGACAGUGCCUGGUGGGUAGUUUGACUGGGGCGGUCUCCUCCCAAAGAGUAACGGAGGAGCACGAAGGUUGGCUAAGUACGGUCGGACAUCGUACGGUUAGUGUAAUGGCAUAAGCCAGCUUAACUGCGAGACAGACACGUCGAGCAGGUGCGAAAGCAGGUCAUAGUGAUCCGGUGGUUCUGAAUGGAAGGGCCAUCGCUCAACGGAUAAAAGGUACUCCGGGGAUAACAGGCUGAUACCGCCCAAGAGUUCAUAUCGACGGCGGUGUUUGGCACCUCGAUGUCGGCUCAUCACAUCCUGGGGCUGAAGUCGGUCCCAAGGGUAUGGCUGUUCGCCAUUUAAAGUGGUACGCGAGCUGGGUUCAGAACGUCGUGAGACAGUUCGGUCCCUAUCUGCCGUGGGCGUUGGAUGAUUGAGGGGAGCUGCUCCUAGUACGAGAGGACCGGAGUGGACGAACCGCUGGUGUUCGGGUUGUCAUGCCAAUGGCAUUGCCCGGUAGCUACGUUCGGAAUCGAUAACCGCUGAAAGCAUCUAAGCGGGAAGCGAGCCCCAAGAUGAGUCAUCCCUAGGGCCUGGAGCCCUCUGAAGAGCCGUUCGAGACCAGGACGUUGAUAGGCAGGGUGUGUAAGCGUUGCGAGGCGUUGAGCUAACCUGUACUAAUGACUCGAGAGGCUUAACCAUACAACCCAGAUGGGUUUU